rnacentral:lncRNA from 1 species
CUUUGUAAGACCUCCGUGGGUACUUGAUACCUGGCUCACUCACUCCUCUCUCACUCUGUGUUUCACCUAGAGCUGAGCAAUGUACAGUGCAUUGCUUCCUGUCCCUGCACUUUGACUGCUUCUUUUUCUUCUUGGGAUGCAAAUCACUUGACCAGCUUUUCCCUCCAGUAUUACUUCGGUGACAUACUGCAGCCCUCUGGCUAUGAAGACAGUGCCUCUUAAAAACUGAGUCAUAUUUUAACUGGCUGAAUUGGAUAGUUUGUUUGGAAUGUAUUUUGUGCCAUGCACUGUUUCUUUAAUGUUUUGUAAGUAAUAUAUUAUAAUGGUACUUGUAAUUCUUCACUCAUGCUACUUUUGCUGACAAUUAAAUUUUAAAUGUAAAUAAGUGUAUAUGGCUUUUAUUUUUUGUUCAGUUAUUUAUUCAAUAAACAUUCACUGGAAGCC